GACUCUCAGCAACAGAUAUCUCAAUUGUCGUAUCGAUGAAGAACGUAGCGAAAUCCGAUACUUGGUGUGAAUUGCAAAAUCCCGUGAACCAUCGAGUCUUUGAAUGCAAGUUGUGCCCGAAGCCAGUCAGUCGAGGGCACGUUUGCCUAGGCAUCA